AGCGAACGCUGGCGGCAGGCCUAACACAUGCAAGUCGAACGCGUGUAGCAAUACACGAGUGGCAGACGGGUGAGUAACACGUGGGAACGUACCUUUCGGUUCGGAAUAACUCAGGGAAACUUGUGCUAAUACCGGAUACGCCUUUACGGGGAAAGAUUCAUCGCCGAAAGAUCGGCCCGCGUCUGAUUAGCUUGUUGGUGAGGUAAAGGCUCACCAAGGCAACAAUGGGUAGCUGGUCNGAGAGGACGAUCA
rnacentral:rRNA from 1 species